UACAGAGGUCUCAAGCGUUGUUCGGAUUCAUUGGGCGUAAAGGGUGCGUAGGCGGCGUGGUAAGUCGGGUGUGAAAUCUCGGAGCUUAACUUCGAAACUGCAUUCGAUACUGCCGUGCUUGAGGACUGGAGAGGAGACUGGAAUUUACGGUGUAGCGGUGAAAUGCGUAGAUAUCGUAAGGAACGCCAGUGGCGAAAGCGAAUCUCUGGGCAGCAACUGACGCUGAGGCACGAAGGCCAGGGGAGCAAACGGGG
rnacentral:rRNA from 1 species